rnacentral:rRNA from 1 species
AGAAUAUUAAUCAGCGGAGGAAAAGAAACUAAGGGAGGAUCCCUCAGAACUGCGAGGAGCGACACCA